CUCAAAUGGCGGAGGCGCUGGGCGCCUAGGCCGUCGGGGGCCAUGAGCGCCGCCCGGCCCCACUUUAGCAUCCAUGAUGCCUUCGAGCUGACCCUGGAGGACGCGGGGCCUGAGCCCGAGUCCAGCGGGGUCGCCCGCUUCGGGCCGCUGCACUUCGAUCGCCGGGCUCGGUUCGAGGUGGCUGAUGAAGACAAGCAGUCCCGGCUACGCCUCUCCGGAGCCUGAUGGGGGAGUCAGCACCAGGUCAGGACCAGGGAUUCUGGGCACAUGUCUGUCCGCAGCUCGCAGUGGUCCUUCAGCACCAUCAGCAGCAGCACACAGCACUUCUACAAUGCCUGCUGCAGUUGGACCCAGCAUCCUCUGAUCCAGAGAAACCGCCGGGUAGUGCUGGCCUCCUUCCUGCUUCUGCUGUUGGGGCUAGGUGUCUCCAGCGCCAUCUUCUUUGUGCCGGGCAUCCUGCUGCUAGUCCCGGGAGUCUACCGUGUGAUCUUCAUCUACUGUGCUGUCAAAGGCCGCCAGGGCUUCCAGUUCUUCUACCUGCCCUACUUUGAGAAGUGAGCUGUAAC